rnacentral:lncRNA from 1 species
UAGAAUUAGUUUUUGGACCAAUUUAGUCUUGUUUGUAGCCCAAUUAAACCAAUCCCUUAGCCCAUUAACUCAAAAGCCCAAACCUAGACAUCCAUUUAAGAUAAUAUACAAGAAAAAAUCAAAAAAAAAAAACUAGACCUACACUAGGAGGGAUCAGUCGUUUUUUUUCAUUUUGGAAACCAUUCAUCUUCAUGGAGACAACAACAAAGACCCUAGCAGAACCCUAGACUCCAAACACCAUCGCCACUGCAUCUUCAUCGUCUCAACACCACCAUCUCCAUCUCCCUCACCAACAACAACCAGCGACCAACUUUCCAUCAACCAGAAUCGCCGCCGCCGGCUGCUUAACCAAAACCCGCCGGAACUCCACAACAAGCCGCCGCAGAACACCAAACGAUCCCUUCUUCUUCGAAAUAGCGGCGGCAGACCUGAGACCAAUUGAAGCAACGAAAUUCCUCUCUUUACCAAGCAGCUUCAGCCGUUUCCAACCGCCAGACCACCCACAUCGACGCUAUUCUUCUUCACCUCACACCAUCGGACAUCCCUUCUUCUUGACACCUUCAAAAUAGUGGCACCACCAAAAGCCAUGGUCUCCAAUCCCUGAAGUGAAGUGAACGAACAGAGGGAUAUAGAAACAUUAAUUAAAGGCUUCAGUUUCGACUCUUAUCGCCUCAUUUUCUUCUUCUUAUUUCCCCGUCUCUUUAAACAAUCAUAGAACAAUUAAAGAGUAACUAGAGAAGGCAGAAAUCGAAAAUAAGAGGUCGAAAGUUUUGUGAAUUCGAGGUGAAAUUCCGGUUUCGAUUCCGUCGUUCGAUCUUUUUUGCUGAUUGUUACUCCGUGGAGUUCCCGUUAACGGAUCCUUUCUUUUUUCUCCUCGCUGGAUCGAGUGUAAGGCUGUUGAAGGAAGUUCUGCUAUUGAAAAUCAUUUAAAGGUCCACUUCUAUCUUUAAUAUCUUACCUUUUGAUUUUUGUCACAUAUGUGUUUGGAUGGUUGAUUCAGAUGGUUUCCAAGUUUGUUUGUGAUAUCUUUUGAUCCUUUGAUAAAUUAGAUUUGCUAAUGACGUGAAGUGACAAUAAGAAUGCCUUUCUUUGUGGUGUUUUUAUGUUACUGAUUCAACCGAAUGUGAUUUAGAUUUAAUGAAGUGAGAGGUUCCAACUUGAAAACUUAUUCUGAAUUGAUUUCGUUGUUUGGGUUGCUGGGUAAAAAAAGAAAAAACUUAAAAGAAAAUUCAGGUUCAAGAUAAUCAUAUUGUUCUUUUAUUCUUGUUUUAUUUACUUUUCAGGUAGAAGUAUGUUUAGGCCGUCUCACUUGGGUAGGUAAGCCAUAGGAUUUUCUUAGUAUCGAGGCGAGUGGUCGUUUCUUUUAGUUUAUUAUCCGGGGAUGUCUCGGAUGAUUUGUGUAUAUUUUUAUCCGGGGUAUGCCCCGAGGUAUUUGUAAAUGGAGGCCAAAAGUAGAAACUUGUAGUAUUUUUAUUUUAUUUUCAUUUUUCUUUUUCUUUUAUUUAGGUAGGAACGACCUCGAGCCUCUUGUGUGUUUAUUUUCCUUUCUAUGUGUUUUCUACCUCAAUUGAAUAUUUUAAAAAUCGACUAGAUCUAGUAUGCAACCGUACUAGUUACGGGACUUAGGGAGUGCCUACUACCUUCUCCCCGAGUCAAAUGAAUCUCCUUACCCGAAUCUCUGGUGCAGACUUAGUUUUGUAGUCUCAAGUGUUUUAAAAGAAAAAAUUAUUUUUAGAAAAACGGUGACCUGACACACUGAAAUCAAAUGUCAGGUGGCGAUUCUGAGUUAAUUUUUUUGAACACUAUCUUUUGC